rnacentral:tRNA from 1 species
GAGCCCGAAGCCCAGCUGGAUAGAGUAUCUGGCUUCGAGCUAGGUGGUCGGUGGUUCAACUCCUACCGGGCGCG